UGGGAGACCGCGCCUGGCCAUGCGCUGCUGAUUCACUGGAGCGGGAGGGGAACUCAGCCAAGUAACGUCCCGACUAACUCAACGGGCCUGCAUAACACAAGUUUAACAGAGUCGUCAGUCUCUGCUCAAGAGAAUCCCAAGGCCAGGAAAGAUCCUUGCACAGAGGUGGUCACAGGCUACACACAGGGAAAGAGCUGCAGACUGAGAGGAUGCACAGGCCCAGACACAGACAAGCUAUGCUCCUUACCAAUCCGGAUGUGCUCCUUCCCAUCAUAGACUAUCCAUUCGUACACUUCAUCACUGAAGCACAGGACAUCGUGUUUCACACACAGGUCUGCGAUGAGCUCCAUCUCCUCCCUGGUGAACACCUAUGCCAGGCAGACAGAGGAGAAGGGGCAAUCAGACACAGCAUUUCUGAGUUCCACAACCCCACAGGGGGUUCUCAGGCUCAGCCCUCCCGGCACCAGCAUCUCAGCCAGAUGUUCUCUCCCUGGAGCAGGCAGACAAUUGGCAGGAAUGGGGGGGACCUCUGCCAACAGGAAUGCCACUCUCCCCAUCCUUGUUAUAGCAGCAACCUCCACCCAGACUCAGGGACCAGGCUCUUCUCAGGGCACUUCCCUCCUCAAAUUACCCAAGUAGGGCUACUCAUGCUUGCUACAGGCUGAGGUGCUCCCUCCUACCCCCAGACAGCUGCGUGUCACCUCUGGAGAUGCUCCCCAUCAGCCAGGAAGUGAAAGACCAGGCUGCUGCAGACCCAUCUCUCCUGGUAGAGAGUCCCUGGAUCACCUGACCGAGGGGGGCUACAGGCUAUCCCUUCCUCCCUCCCUACUGUUCCUACAUUCAAAGGCUGGUGAUACGAGUGCUGCAAAGUGGAAUCAUCAGUGGAUCAUCUCACAAACACCCCCCAGCUUCUGGAGCUGCCAGAUUUUCUGAGAACCUUGUUCAGAACGAAGGAGCUGACUGUGGGACCCCACCCAAGCACUGACUCUAAGGAGACACCCAGCACAGGCUCUCUCAUUUAACUGUUUUCAGGGUCCCUGCAGAGGGAAGGGGGAGCUCUCCCAGCUGCUAGAGACACUACCUUCCCCAGGGGGUUGUUGGGUGAGUUCAAAACGAUGGCUUUGGUUCGUUUGGUAAAUCUGGAAGCCAGCUCUGCUGGAUCCAGCUGCCAGUCUCCGCUGGACAUCAGCUUUCCGGCUUCUGCAGCUUUCUGGAGAGGACAGUGAAGGAAUCAUGAUUAAAAGCAACAAAUGGCUGGGGACAUGGGGGCAGCCUUGCCCCCUGCUCUGACUAGGAAUCUCUCGGAGUUCUUCCCAAUAAUACAUUGCCCAUCUCCAGCCCCCUCCUGCUGAGCAUCUCAAAGCACUCCGUGAACAUUAAUGGAUUAAGCCACCUCACAAAACCCCUGGUGAGGUAGAUUGGUGUCAUUACCCUGAUUUUACAGAUGGGGAAACCGAGGCACAAAGAGAUGCAUGGCUUCCCCAAAGUAACACAGCAAGUCAGUGUAACAGACAAGAAUAGAACCCAGGAGUCCUGCCUGACUUCUAGUCCUGUGCCUUAACCUUCAGUUCAUCCUCUCUCCCUCUCUGUUUUAGAAUUAUGGAGGUUGGGUAGUCAUUUGGAAACAAAUCCACCAUCCCCUCUCCAGCCAGGUCAGCAUGCACAUACUGUUCCCAAUGCUCAGGGCUUUCUGUCAGGGAAUUGCUGAAGUCUCGAGUUCCAGGUAACGUUCAAGAUCAACCUUAUGUACAAAGCAAGAGGCUUCUUGGGACCUGUUAUUUUAGGGACACUUCUCAACUUACUGCAAGGUCUUCAACCUACAGGCUGACGUAUCUGCAUCUGCAUCGGCAGCAGGACCAGAGAGAAAGGAAAGCCCCUGUGUCAGGACCCCUCACCCCUGGCAAUGGGAUCAUUGUGGUGAGGAACAAAUGAUCUGGUUCCCUAUUUCCAGCAACUUGGGGCACCACAAAUCGUGAGGCUGGUCCUGAUGAAACUGCAGACCUUGUUGAACCUGACCUGGGUUCUUAUCACGCAGAAGCCAGUUCAGAGCCAAACUUACCACUCCUACCAUUAAGUUUCAUCCAGGACACACUGUAAAGCUGCCUCUCGCCCUCACAUGCCAUUUCCAUUCAGAAGGGUUGGAGAGAAAGAGAGCAGCAGACUUCUUAAAGUUUGCAGACCUCACAGCGGCUUUGCUUUGAUGCCCACUUACUGGUCGCAGUUGUAUAAACACAGAAGUGCCCCCAGCCAUCUUCACCAUGGGCUCAUAGCAGUCAAAGAACGGCUCAAUGAUAAUCACCUGGAAAGUCACCAGAGGGUGUGUCAGAGAACUCACAGUCCUUCUUUCAUCAGUGCUGAUGGAGGCAGGGGGAGGUUGGAGGGUGUUACCUAUCAGGUCUGUGUUCUUGGGGAACCAGGGCGCAGUACCCAGCCUUUCUAACUCAUGAAAGACCUUUUCCCCCCCCACACACACACCUCUGCUUGAAUCAAAACUGAUCAGAAGAAAGAUUUACAAAAAGAAAUGAAAAGGCAGUGGGAGAUGCACCUUAAACCCCUGGAAUAAAGGUGACAGGAUUAAGGAAACUCCCCUAGCCUCAUUUGCAUCGAAGAUGGGGCAAGGAGACAUCUCCAUUAGCAUACAGAAUGGAGAACAGAGAUUCCAAGGCAAGAACCGCAGGGAACUCUGGGACCAGAGAAGCAGGGAAGCAUUGCAUGAUGGGGGAUCUCUGCUCCAGGUGUUAAUGAACCCAUGCCUGCACACCCCCAGCUCAGUAGUUAUCAGACCAAUUCUUGUCAUAAAUCCUGUAUCGGUAUCCAAAAUAGUGAAGUUCCCUAAUUGCAUUGUGAGCUCCCUCAAAGGAACAUUGCCCAUAGCCAGGAAUGAUCAGUUCCUAUUGUCUGGCCUGAACAAAACAACUUUGGUAUUCUCCCUUGAGCCAUCAGUUUACCCACAAACAAAUCUAGUGUUCUCCCUUGAACCACUGCUGUUUCUCUACAAACUCCCCUACCCAUGCUCAAGUAAGUGUUCUGAUGCCUGGAUCCAAAAUCUGCAUCGGUUCCACUGGGACUUCAUCUUCUCCUGACUGAUUGUGCUGGGAGCUCUGCCUGUCUCCACCACUCCGACCCUCAGCUACCACCACUGCCUGGAAACCCCAAUCAAUUCAAGCUUCACGGAGUGGUGAGAACCCAGCUCUCUCUUUCUAGGUGUAGCCUUCUGACCCUGAUUUAUGUGAUCAGUUAUCGUUUUCUAAACCUGACUUUUAUAAUCAAAUUUAAGUUAGAUUUAAUAUUAUCACUGUUUUGUUUGUUUGGCUCCCCUAUGGUUAUUACUUG